CUAACUUUUCUUAGAGAAAUCAGUUCCACAACUAUGUGGCAGAACCUAUAACAUGCUUCUGGGAAAAUCAGUUCAGCAACUGUGUAGCAAAACCCUUUCUUACCUUUCACAAGAACCAACCAGGUAUGGAUGCACAUACCCCGAACUGGAACAACAACACUGCAAUACCUACUAUGUAAACACCUCGAAGGAAUCCUAAGC
rnacentral:lncRNA from 1 species